CCUACGGGGGGCUGCAGUGGGGAAUAUUGGACAAUGGGCGAAAGCCUGAUCCAGCCAUGCCGCGUGUGUGAAGAAGGCCUUCGGGUUGUAAAGCACUUUCAGUGGGGAAGAAAGCCUUGGGGCUAAUACCCUCGAGGAAGGACAUCACCCACAGAAGAAGCACCGGCUAACUCCGUGCCAGCAGCCGCGGUAAUACGGAGGGUGCGAGCGUUAAUCGGAAUUACUGGGCGUAAAGCGCGCGUAGGCGGUCUGAUAAGCCGGUUGUGAAAGCCCCGGGCUCAACCUGGGAACGGCAUCCGGAACUGUCAGGCUAGAGUGCAGGAGAGGAAGGUAGAAUUCCCGGUGUAGCGGUGAAAUGCGUAGAGAUCGGGAGGAAUACCAGUGGCGAAGGCGGCCUUCUGGACUGACACUGACGCUGAGGUGCGAAAGCGUGGGUAGCAAACAGGAUUAGAUCCCUUGUAGUC
rnacentral:rRNA from 1 species